UACAGAGGUCUCAAGCGUUGUUCGGAUUCAUUGGGCGUAAAGGGUGCGUAGGUGGUGAUGCAAGUCUGGUGUGAAAUCUCGGAGCUCAACUCCGAAAUUGCACCGGAUACUGCGUGACUCGAGGACUGUAGAGGAGAUCGGAAUUCACGGUGUAGCAGUGAAAUGCGUAGAUAUCGUUUGGAACGCCAAUGGUGAAAAACAGGUCGCUGGGGAUGAGCUGACGCUGAGACACGAAAGCCAGGGGAGCAAACGGG
rnacentral:rRNA from 1 species